rnacentral:lncRNA from 1 species
CUCUUCCAGAAAUAUCAAUGGCCAGCAUAGAGUAAACCACUGUACCAAGGAUAUGAUGAACGACAUUGUUACCUACCCAGUGGUCACAGGCAAUGUCUCCAAGAAGCCCCUUGAAGCUGCCAUACUGCAAUGAACAAAUCCUCAGCCCUAACCACCUCCAGCCUGGCUACUUCCCACACAUCAUUCAAAAAGCUUAGAGGAGUCUGCAGAGUGCCAAAGAUACACAGAGUAACAUGAGAAACAAGCUGAGAUUGGCCAGUGACACCACAUGGCAGACUGGGCAGCAUGCCAAGACAGGUUUUACAUCCCACUGGACCUGACUAGGAUUUAAUAAUUAUUUUCAGGUGAAUCUAAAAAGCAGCACUACCAAGUCUAGGAGGAUUGCAGAUGAUGAAAUGGAAGCGCUAA